AAGCUGUAAGGGUCCCCCUGCCUCGGAGAAGGCCUAGGUGGAGGCUCCUUGGCCUCUUGAGUCCAGACUGUUCUAGACAAUCCCGUUGGGAAUCCAGGUGAAAGGCGGUGGUGGGCGAGAAAAACUCAGUAUGGCCUCCAUCGGAUCUCCGUUAAGCUCCCUGGAUAUUGUGGAGACAGUAGGCCUACAGGUGAACAAGUGCUCAGAGGAGCCCCACUCUGGUCUGGAAGAUUAACUUCAUAUCCUCCUGUCUCAGCCUCGCAAAGUGCUAGGGUUACAGGUCUGCACCACCAUACCUCCAGGUGACGGGACCGGAGUUCCCAAAGGGCAGGACUCAACUUUGCCCAUGCGCUCAUCCUCAUCAGCAGACACAGUCACAGCACUGGCUCGUUCUUCCCACCCUCCUCCCUCCCAUAGCCCGGUCCGCAAGGGCUCAUCUACCAACAGAACCGCUGCUCUGGGGCAGCUCACUUUCCCCAGAUCUCCUGGCUUCCCCCACCUA
rnacentral:lncRNA from 1 species